rnacentral:misc_RNA from 1 species
GUAGGCGAACCUGCGGAGGGAUCAUUACCGAGUGAGGGCGCUCGCCGCCCGACCUCCCAACCCUUUGAUUUGAUCAAGACCUCCUUCUGCCUCGGGGGCGACCCGGACCUCGCGGUCCGCCGGUCCCCCCGGUGGUCACCAACCAAAACUCUGCAUCAAUUGUCGUCUGAGCGUAUUGAGAAAUCAAUCAAAACUUUCAACAACGGAUCUCUUGGUUCUGGCAUCGAUGAAGAACGCAGCAUCUGACUGA